CAGAAAAAUUUUUUUCCCAUGCUAAGCACCUCAUGGACUUAAAAAAAUCAAAUAUGAAAUGAAGCUGUCUGCAAAACACCUAUUAUGCAAACAUUUUGGCUGCUAAAAUAGUGUUGUAAGUCAUAAAAAAAUGAAGACUAUAGGGUUUUUCAGAAUUUUUGGUGCUUAUAACCUAAUGGAUUAGUAGCGUUAGUUUAGUAAACUAGCUUUAAAGAGGAUAUGUGGAUAUUUCUUGAUAACGCUGAUGCUGUAUCAUCCAGUACUGCACCAGUUGGAUAUCUCAGAUGAUACUGAAAAAUGAGGAGUGAUUAUUUUGGAAACACUUCCGAAUGUGAGCUAAUGUCUCCUAUUAAUUUGCACCAGCUUCCCCUUCAGAGAUCUCUGGGCUUCUAUAAAAACACCACUUGGAAACCACUGGGCUAGGGCACCUGGGUGGCUCAGUUGGUUGAGCGACUGCCUUCGGCUCAGGUCAUGAUCCUGGAGUCCCUGGAUUGAGUACCGCAUCGGGCUCCCUGCUCAGCGGGGGGCCUGCUUCUCCUUCUGACCCUCUUCUCUCUUGUGCUGUCUCUCAUUCUCUCUCUCAAAUAAAUAAAUAAAAUCUUUAAAAAAAAUAUUUACAUAGAGUGGUAUUUUAUACCAAUUUAUGAUGUGAUAUUUUUCAAUCUUGGGAUAAUUAAUAUUAAUUAUUAAUAUCAAUAUUAAUAUUGAGCUGGUUCCUCAAUAACAGUUCUUUUUACAUAUCAGUUAUUGGAUAGCAGAGUAGACUUUACCAAGUGUUUUCAUAUAUGUGACUCACCUUGAUCUUUAUAACAAUACUGCAAAACAUAUUUUAAAUAUUCAUUUCACAGGUGAGGCAGCUGAGCCUCAGAAAAAUUAAGUGACUUGUCCAAGGCCACAUAGCUAAGGUCCAGAAACCUGCAUCUCAACCUAAGGCUUCUGACCACAUGUCUAGGCUUUUUGGACAGUUUUCUAUAAUGGGGAAUUAACUACAUGAGUUUGCCCUUUGUCUUGGUACAAUUUGUGAAAUUGCUAGUAUAAUCUGCAGUCAAGAAAUUAAUUAAAUCCAAAUUUGGUUUAGAAAGUGCUGAAAAGCAUGACUUU